CACGUAGGGGGCAAGCGUUGUCCGGAUUUAUUGGGCGUAAAGAGCUCGUAGGCGGCUUAGUAAGUCGGGUGUGAAACCUCCAGGCUCAACCUGGAGACGCCACCCGAUACUGCUGUGGCUAGAGUCCGGUAGGGGAGCGUGGAAUUCCUGGUGUAGCGGUGAAAUGCGCAGAUAUCAGGAGGAACACCGGUGGCGAAGGCGGGUCUCUGGGCCGAUACUGACGCUGAGGAGCGAAAGCGUGGGGAGCAAACAGG
rnacentral:rRNA from 1 species